UACGAACUGUGCAAACGUUAUUCGGAAUCACUGGGCUUAAAGGGUGCGUAGGCGGCUUGUUAAGUAGGGUGUGAAAUCCCCCGGCUCAACCGGGGAAUUGCGCCCUAAACUGGCGAGCUGGAGUGAGAUAGGGGUGUGUGGAGCUUCCAGUGGAGCGGUGAAAUGUGUUGAUAUUGGAAGGAACGCCAGUGGCGAAAGCGACACACUGGGUCUCAACUGACGCUGAGGCACGAAAGCCAGGGGAGCAAACGGG
rnacentral:rRNA from 1 species